GCUUGCAGGAGGUAGCAGAUCAGCUGGAGCUGGAACGAAUAGGGCCGCAACACCAGGCAGGCUCAGACUCCUUAUUAACAGGCAUGGCCUUUUUUAAAAUGAGAGAGAUGUUUUUUGAAGAUCAUAUUGACGAUGCCAAAUACUGUGGACAUUUGUACGGUCUUGGAUCUGGCUCAUCUUAUAUACAGAAUGGCACAGGCAAUGCAUAUGAGGAAGAAGCCAGCAAGCCACAAUCAUGACAUAAAGUGCUUCACUGGGCUACAUGGGCUUGUAUAUAGAUUUUAUCUCUGAUUGAAGAUGUUGGAUAAUACAGAUAUUCCCCCAAACAUUGAGACAUUUUCUUCUCAUCUUUUGUGUUGUAAAUAUAUUUAUGCCCACCAGAUGCUUUGGUCUUGAUACAGAAAAAUGUAUGGGGUAAAUCUGGCCGCUAACCAAAAUUUGAUCUUUGUGAAGACUAGUAUGUUCAACAGAGAGAGGAUUAAUUUAACCAUAGCAGGUGUUCAGUACACCUGUUGAUUUUGACUUCAGAGUGAAAAGUACUGGUAUGCUGAUUACUUGUCCUCAUUUCAUGUGUAGUGCUUAAACAGACAGAAGUUUUAGCUAUUCAGGAUUGUGGACCAUCAGAUUUGCACUUUAUGGAGUGACAGAGAUCCUCUGUUUUAUCUGAAAUGUUCACCACCAAUUGUUCUUAGAUAGAAAGCAUAUAAAUAUUGGUAAUUAUCAAUUGAACCGUUACAGGUUUAUGUUUUCAAAAAUGACUGGCACACUGCAGUACUGGUUGUACAUGUUAAACCAAAAAGCAAAACUACUGAGCCAAUGAUUGUUUCUCAACUGCCUGGCCUUAAAUGUACUGCCCAUCUCAUGCUUCUCUGUUUCUCAGAAUGCUGCUAUAUAUUACUAUCAAAGUGUUGAAACCAGCCUUUCAUCCUUCAAGAAAUCAUCUUUUGUAAUCGUGCUCUUCAAGCAAAAAGGCAUUGUAUUAUUUUCAGAUGGAUUAUAGUAUUUAUAGUACAGUUAGAAUAAUCAACAGUGUAGAGUUCAGCCCCCCCAGCAGUAUUCCUUUUUACCUAGAGUCAUCUUGGUUUUAUUCAGGAUGCAGUAUCUUCUGAAUGUUUUGCACAAACUGAAUAAUUACAGCUCAGUAUUUUGUAGUGAAUUAAUAAAAUAACAGUUCUUCUCAGCCCACAAAGUGCUUUUCAUGGUGGGUUGAUUAUUGCCUGCUGAAUUUAUAUAAAAAAAUAAAACAGUUUGCACUGGUUGCAGACAUGAUAAAAUUCUAAAUGUAUUUAAUACUUCAAUACAUUUCUUGAGUCACCAACAUAUUUUAAGUAACUUAUCCCAAAUUAAAAGUCACAUCAAUGCUGAUUUGUAUGUGUUUUCACUGUUGAUUUUUUUGCUUGAUCUUUACAUUGUAUGUUGUAUAUUGUCUUACAAAGCUGUACUUUUUCAACAUUGGUUACAUGGUUACACUACGAGUGUGCAGAAAGACUGUUAAAAUGAAUAGCUAAUACUUGUCUGAAACCAUGAAAUGCAUGGCAGGGUAUGUAAAGUUGUUAAUACAUCUGUUCAGUUCAGCAGACCAAGGCAGAUUUCCAAAAAUGUUUCCAUGUUGCCCAGACUACCAGAUGUGUUCUUUGCUUUUCACCAAGUUUUAUAACUUGGUGCUCCUUUUUUAAGAAAAAAAAAGAGAAAAGAAAAAAAAAAAGAAUUUAUUUGCAAAGAGUAUUUGUUUUUAAAAGCUUUUGUAAAUAAAGGCUUCUGAAUCAUUUUCUUACA